CGGAAUGAAGCCAAAUUGGUGCGGCGCUCUGUUUGGGUCAGAGAGACACUAAGUUCGAUUCUUUGCAUUCCGA
rnacentral:tRNA from 6 species